rnacentral:rRNA from 1 species
UACGUAGGGGGCAAGCGUUGUCCGGAAUCAUUGGGCGUAAAGAGCGCGUAGGCGGUCCGGUAAGUCCGCUCUGAAAGUCCGGGGCUCAACCCCGGGAGGCGGGCGGAUACUGUCGGGCUAGAGUCCGGAAGAGGCGAGUGGAAUUCCUGGUGUAGCGGUGAAAUGCGCAGAUAUCAGGAGGAACACCAAUGGCGAAGGCAGCUCGCUGGGACGGUACUGACGCUGAGGCGCGAAAGCUAGGGGAGCGAAAGGG